CUAGGCCUGGGCUUUCGGUUAUCCGUUCGGUUAUCGGUUGGGUCCAUUCGGUUUUCGGUUCUUUCGGUUUUAAAAUUUAGUAUCCAUUCGGAUAUUUUGAAAUUUCGGUUCGGUUUCGGUUUGGUUCCGGUUCUUUCGGUUUUAAAAUUUAGUAUCCAUUCGGUUAUUUUGCUUAGAAUAUUUUCGGAUAUUUCGGUUAUUUUUGAGUAUUUUCG
rnacentral:lncRNA from 1 species